ensembl:snoRNA
ACCCUCCAGUUCCCUUUCCCAUUGGAUCAAAACCCUGGUCCGGGUGGUUGUAAAAGGAGGAAAGAAGCAUCGAAACUGCCCCUCAGUGCUCCUGGAGCUUGGGCUAGUUUCAAACGGUC